GGAGCAGCAUCCCCGGGGGAGGGAGCCAGGCAGGCAGGGAGGCAGGCAGGGAGGGAGGGGGAAGGAGGAAGCCGAGCUGUUGAGUCAGUGCUGCAGAGCUGCCUGCGAGAGCAGAGAGAGGCACAGCUGCAAAGGACAGAUCUGCUGAGCCACGGGAAAAUGGUUUGAGUGAUAAUCAACGCCUGCGGCUAUGUGGCCAGGAGGAUGAGGAGCCUGUGCAGCCGGGAGCCCCGGGAGCCACCGCCCUGCCCGGCACAGGCAGCGCCACAAAGCCAGCACCGGGAUGUAAAACCAGAGGUACCAGCACCCCCUGAAGCACCAGCCUCACUUCCCAGCAACACCAAACCCAUCCAGUGCAGGUCCUGACAAUAAAUCCCUCAUGGUCCUCCCA
rnacentral:lncRNA from 1 species